rnacentral:rRNA from 1 species
ACAGUCACACAUUAGAUACCCGUGUAGUCCUGGCCGUAAACGAUGUGGACUUGGUGUUGGAAUGGCUCCGAGCUGCUCCAGUGCCGAAGGGAAGCUGUUAAGUCCACCGCCUGGGAAGUACGGUCGCAAGACUGAAACUUAAGGGAAUUGGCGGGGAGCACCACAACGCGUGGAGCCUGCGGUUUAAUUGGAUUCAACGCCGGACAUCUCACCAGGGCGACAGCAGAAUGAUGGCCAGGUUGAUGACCUUGCUUGACAAGCUG